rnacentral:rRNA from 1 species
GGAAACUGGGGAACUUGAGUGCAGAAGAGGAGAGUGGAAUUCCACGUGUAGCGGUGAAAUGCGUAGAGAUGUGGAGGAACACCAGUGGCGAAGGCGACUCUCUGGUCUGUAACUGACGCUGAGGAGCGAAAGCGUGGGGAGCGAACAGGAUUAGAUACCCUGGUAGUCCACGCCGUAAACGAUGAGUGCUAAGUGUUAGGGGGUUUCCGCCCCUUAGUGCUGCAGCUAACGCAUUAAGCACUCCGCCUGGGGAGUACGGUCGCAAGACUGAAACUCAAAGGAAUUGACGGGGGCCCGCACAAGCGGUGGAGCAUGUGGUUUAAUUCGAAGCAACGCGAAGAACCUUACCAGGUCUUGACAUCCUCUGACAAUCCUAGAGAUAGGACGUCCCCUUCGGGGGCAGAGUGACAGGUGGUGCAUGGUUGUCGUCAGCUCGUGUCGUGAGAUGUUGGGUUAAGUCCCGCAACGAGCGCAACCCUUGAUCUUAGUUGCCAGCAUUCAGUUGGGCACUCUAAGGUGACUGCCGGUGACAAACCGGAGGAAGGUGGGGAUGACGUCAAAUCAUCAUGCCCCUUAUGACCUGGGCUACACACGUGCUACAAUGGACAGAACAAAGGGCAGCGAAACCGCGAGGUUAAGCCAAUCCCACAAAUCUGUUCUCAGUUCGGAUCGCAGUCUGCACUCGACUGCGUGAGCUGGAUCGCUAGUAAUCGCGGAUCAGCAUGGCCGCGGGUGAUACGU